rnacentral:rRNA from 1 species
GGUUGAUCCUGCCAGUAGUCAUAUGCUUGUCCUAAAGAUUAAGCCAUGCAUGUCCAAGUAUAAACACGUUGUACUGUGAAACUGCGAAUGGCUCAUUAUAUCAGUUAUAAUUUAUUUGAUAGUCUCUUUACUACUUGGAUAACCGUGGUAAUUCUAGAGCUAAUACAUGCAAAAGGGUCUGGGUGUGUAUGCACCCAAGGCAGCAUUUAUUAGAUUAAAAACCAACACUUUUGGUGAUUCAUAAUAACUAUGCGGAUCGCAUGGCCUUGUGCUGGCGACGUUUCAUUCAAAUU